AUUGAACGCUGGCGGCAGGCUUAACACAUGCAAGUCGAGCGGUAGCACAAGAGAGCUUGCUCUCUGGGUGACGAGCGGCGGACGGGUGAGUAAUGUCUGGGAAACUGCCUGAUGGAGGGGGAUAACUACUGGAAACGGUAGCUAAUACCGCAUAACGUCGCAAGACCAAAGAGGGGGACCUUCGGGCCUCUUGCCAUCAGAUGUGCCCAGAUGAGAUUAGCUAGUAGGUGGGGUAAUGGCUCACCUAGGCGACGAUCCCUAGCUGGUCUGAGAGGAUGACCAGCCACACUGGAACUGAGACACGGUCCAGACUCCUACGGGAGGCAGCAGUGGGGAAUAUUGCACAAUGGGCGCAAGCCUGAUGCAGCCAUGCCGCGUGUGUGAAGAAGGCCUUCGGGUUGUAAAGCACUUUCAGCGAGGAGGAAGGUGGUGAACUUAAUACGUUCAUCAAUUGACGUUACUCGCAGAAGAAGCACCGGCUAACUCCGUG
rnacentral:rRNA from 1 species